rnacentral:rRNA from 1 species
AAACCAGCACCUCAAGUGGUCAGGAUGAUUAUUUGGCCUAAAGCAUCCGUAGCCUGCUCUGUAAGUUUUCGGUUAAAUCUGUACGCUUAACGUACAGGCUGCCGGGAAUACUGCAGAGCUAGGGAGUGGGAGAGGUAGACGGUACUCGGGAGGAAGUGGUAAAAUGCUUUGAUCUCUCGAUGACCACCUGUGGCGAAGGCGGUCUACCAGAACACGUCCGACGGUGAGGGAUGAAAGCUAGGGGAGCAAACCGGAUUAGAAACCCCAGUAGUCC